AGAAACGCCAGUAAGUUCAAUCUUCUAGUUUUCGUGUUCUUCAUUUCUUUAGAUCAUCGAGCUUGUUUUUAAUUUGUAGCAAACUCUUAUAGUUCAUAGUCGGUACUUCUGUAAUCGGAUUUCGUUUCUUCGUUAAGGAAUUUAGGAUAUUUUUAUGAUUUCAUAGCAUCUACGACUUCAAUGUACACAAACACAAUGCUGUUUCUUUCCUCAGAAACCUUUAGGGAAUAAUGACCUGCGCCUACCCCUGCCAGUGUUCCAUUGGAGGCUCUGAUGUAAGUUUCAUUACUCAACUUUACUUUCUAGGAUUACUGGUGGAAAUAAGAUGUGCCCUUGAUAUUUUUUAUUUCCUGACCGAAGUUGGGUACGGCUCCCUUCAUAAAAGAUUCUGUAUUUUAAUCAACUUUGCUUUUGUUGUUCAGUUUAGAAGGGUAUAGUGCUUGAAAUGGCCAAGCGAGAUACAUAUUAUUCAAUGGUUGCUAAUCAUCUCAAAACUGCAUGGCUGACACACUUAGAGGUUUUUGAUUUUGAUGCAUUACUCGUGAAUUUGAUUCUUUAGGAAUGUUAAGGGGACUGGAAGAUGGAAGUUAAAAUAAAGUUAAGUGUCAUUUUAAUGUAGGAGGACCAUUGUUAUAGAAUAGCUUUCACUUUAGAAUUAAGAAAGCAUGUGUGGUAUGUGGUAAUGAAUAGAGGGGGAAUGCGCACCAUAAACUCAUUGUACUAUUGGGUAUUUGCUUUCUAAACCCAUGAAAAAUAGUUGUUAUUAUUUCAUUUAUUUAAUUUGUGCUUGAUACAUUUGAUCUUUGUUUAGGCUUGAUGUUGUUGGAUGCAGGUAGAGCUUGAAACUAGAGAUCAAGAUGUGUACAAGCACUAUUCUUGUUGAACUUUGAAAUUUGGAUCUCCAAGGAUAUGGUUAGAAAUGAUUUUAAUUUGAACUAGCUAUCUGCUGAGUUUGUUCAACUUGAGUUAGGUAGGUUCCUUUUUAACUGCUAUUGUUCUUUUGAUUUGAAGCAAGCUCACCAACCCAAGUUUGGAAAAGGUGAAGGUUAUGAGUGAGGUUCUUUCAAGAGAUCUUGAGGCUGACUGUUCUUCUUUUUCAACUUGAAAUCUUUGUUACUGUACUCAAAAUAUAAAGGCAUGAUGAUAGAAUAGUCAAGUAAGAUGCACCUGUUAAAUUUCAAGAACUUGAUCAUAUUCUUCUUUGGAUUCAAAAUUCAUUUCUGUUGGGUGGUAACUUUAAACAUGAAAUUUUGGGGAUUGACUCCAUCAUAAACAUUUCAUUCAUCAUGUGAAAGUAAGACAACAGAAGUGUUUUAGAAAGGCAGUUCAAUCCAUAAUUAUUAACA